CUGAACGGCCGCGCCCCCCUGCACGCGCCCGAUCCCGUCUGAUCUCGGAAGCUAAGCAGGGUCGGGCCUGGUGCGUACUCGGGUGGGAGGCCCCCCUGGGAAGACCGGGUGCCGCAGG
rnacentral:rRNA from 1 species